rnacentral:rRNA from 1 species
GACGAACGCUGGCGGCGUGCUUAACACCUGCAAGUCGAACGAUGAAGAAAAGAAUUGAAGCUUCGGCAGAAAUUCAUUUCGGAUUAGUGGCAGACGGGUGAGUAACGCGUGAGCAACCUACCUCUUACAAAGGGAUAGCCUCGGGAAACCGGGAUUAAUACCAUAUAACAUUGCGACGAAGCAUUUCGAUGCAAUCAAAGCUACGGCGGUAAGAGAUGGGCUCGCGUCCCAUUAACCAGAUGGUGAGGUAACGGCUCACCAUAGUAACGAUGGGUAACCGGCCUGAGAGGGUGAACGGUCACACUGGAACUGAGACACGGUCCAGACUCCUACGGGAGGCAGCAGUGGGGAAUAUUGCACAAUGGAGGGAACUCUGAUGCAGCGACGCCGCGUGAGUGAUGAAGGAAUUCGUUUCGUAAAACUCUGUUCUAUGGGAAGAAAAGGACUGUACCAUAGGAGAAAGCUCCGGCUAAAUACGUGCCAGCAGCCGCGGUAAUACGUAUGGACCGAGCGUUGUCCGGAAUCAUUGGGCGUAAAGGGUACGUAGGCGGCCCAGUAAGUUAGAAGUGAAAUAAUAUAGCUCAACUAUAUAAAGCUUUUAAAACUGCUAGGCUUGAGAGAUGGAAGGGAAAGUGGAAUUCCUAGUGUAGCGGUGAAAUGCGCAGAUAUUAGGAAGAAUACCGGUGGCGAAGGCGACUUUCUGGUCAUCAUCUGACGCUGAGGUACGAAAGCGUGGGUAGCAAACAGGAUUAGAUACCCUGGUAGUCCACGCUGUAAACGAUGAGUGUUAGGUUCUUGGAAUAAUCUGGGAGCCGCAGCUAACGCAUUAAACACUCCGCCUGGGGAGUACGCACGCAAGUGUGAAACUCAAAGGAAUUGACGGGGACCCGCACAAGCAGCGGAGCAUGUGGUUUAAUUCGACGCAACGCGAAGAACCUUACCAAGUCUUGACAUAAUACGGAGGGAAUUAGAGAUAGUUUCUUAAGACUUCGGUCUACUGUAUUACAGGUGGUGCAUGGUUGUCGUCAGCUCGUGUCGUGAGAUGUUGGGUUAAGUCCCAUAACGAGCGCAACCCCUAUCGUUAGUUACCAUCAUUAAGUUGGGCACUCUAGCGAGACUGCCGGUAAUAAACCGGAGGAAGGUGGGGAUGACGUCAAAUCAUCAUGCCCCUUAUGACCUGGGCUACACACGUGCUACAAUGGUUGGUACAACGAGUCGCAAGCCGGUGACGGCAAGCUAAUCUCUUAAAGCCAAUCUCAGUUCGGAUUGUAGGCUGCAACUCGCCUACAUGAAGUCGGAAUCGCUAGUAAUCGCGGAUCAGCACGCCGCGGUGAAUACGUUCCCGGGCCU